rnacentral:tRNA from 1 species
CCUCCUUAACGACUUGAGUGCCUGCCCAAGCAGGGACCCACACGUUUGCUUGUCUGAACGGUUAAAGAUGCCAAAGCGCUGUUUUUGGGUCUGUAGCUCAGUUGGUUAGAGCGCACCCCUGAUAAGGGUGAGGUCGGCCGUUCAAAUCGGCCCAGACCCACCAGAACAAGCCCGCCGCUUUCCAAGGAAGGCGGCGGGUCGGUUCCAUCAACAGUUUACGGUUUUGUGCUGAAUUAAAGGGGCCGUAGCUCAGCUGGGAGAGCGCCUGCCUUGCACGCAGGAGGUCAGGAGUUCGAUCCUCCUCGGCUCCA